rnacentral:rRNA from 1 species
AGUGAACGCUGGCGGUAGGCCUAACACAUGCAAGUCGAACGGCAGCACAGGAGAGCUUGCUCUCUGGGUGGCGAGUGGCGGACGGGUGAGGAAUACAUCGGAAUCUACUCUGUCGUGGGGGAUAACGUAGGGAAACUUACGCUAAUACCGCAUACGACCUACGGGUGAAAGCAGGGGAUCUUCGGACCUUGCGCGAUUGAAUGAGCCGAUGUCGGAUUAGCUAGCUGGCGGGGUAAAGGCCCACCAAGGCGACGAUCCGUAGCUGGUCUGAGAGGAUGAUCAGCCACACUGGAACUGAGACACGGUCCAGACUCCUACGGGAGGCAGCAGUGGGGAAUAUUGGACAAUGGGCGCAAGCCUGAUCCAGCCAUACCGCGUGGGUGAAGAAGGCCUUCGGGUUGUAAAGCCCUUUUGUUGGGAAAGAAAUCCAGCCGGCUAAUACCCGGUUGGGAUGACGGUACCCAAAGAGUAAGCACCGGCUAACUUCGUGCCAGCCGCCGCAGUAA